AUUGAACGCUGGCGGCGUGCUUAACACAUGCAAGUCGAACGGCAGCACGGGAGCUUGCUCCUGGUGGCGAGUGGCGAACGGGUGAGUAAUACAUCGGAACGUACCCUGAAGUGGGGGAUAACGUAGCGAAAGUUACGCUAAUACCGCAUAUUCUGUGAGCAGGAAAGAGGGGGGAUCGCAAGACCUCUUGCUUUAGGAGCGGCCGAUGUCGGAUUAGCUAGUUGGUGAGGUAAAGGCCCACCAAGGCGACGAUCCGUAGCGGGUCUGAGAGGAUGAUCCGCCACACUGGAACUGAGACACGGUCCAGACUCCUACGGGAGGCAGCAGUGGGGAAUUUUGGACAAUGGGCGCAAGCCUGAUCCAGCCAUGCCGCGUGAGUGAAGAAGGCCU
rnacentral:rRNA from 1 species